rnacentral:rRNA from 1 species
GACGAACGCUGGCGGCGUGCUUAACACAUGCAAGUCGAACGGAAAGGCCCUGCUUUUGUGGGGUGCUCGAGUGGCGAACGGGUGAGUAACACGUGAGUAACCUGCCCUUGACUUUGGGAUAACUUCAGGAAACUGGGGCUAAUACCGGAUAGGAGCUCCUGCUGCAUGGUGGGGGUUGGAAAGUUUCGGCGGAUGGGGAUGGACUCGCGGCUUAUCAGCUUGUUGGUGGGGUAGUGGCUUACCAAGGCUUUGACGGGUGGCCGGCCUGAGAGGGUGACCGGCCACAUUGGGACUGCGGGACGGCCCAGACUCCUACGGGAGGCAGCAGGGGAGAAUAUUGCACAAUGGGCGGAAGCCUGAUGCAGCAACGCCGCGUGCGGGAUGCCGGCCUUCGGGUUGUAAACCGCUUUAGCCUGUGACGAAGCGUGAGUGACGGUAAUGGGUAAAGAAGCACCGGCUAACUACGUG